rnacentral:tRNA from 1 species
GGAACGGUAUUUUAAGCGGCAGAAUGGCGAUAUAUCGGAAAACAACAACGACAGCCGAGUCUGGGUUCGAAUCCCAGCUGUUCCA